UACGGAGGGUGCGAGCGUUGUCCGGAAUCACUGGGCGUAAAGCGCACGUAGGCGGAUUGUUAAGUCAGGGGUGAAAUCCUGGAGCUCAACUCCAGAACUGCCUUUGAUACUGAGAAUCUUGAGUAUGGGAGAGGUGAGUGGAACUGCGAGUGUAGAGGUGAAAUUCGUAGAUAUUCGCAAGAACACCAGUGGCGAAGGCGGCUCACUGGCCCGGUACUGACGCUGAGGUGCGAAAGCGUGGGGAGCAAACAGGAUUAGAAACCCUUGGUACGU
rnacentral:rRNA from 1 species